rnacentral:rRNA from 1 species
UUAGCGGCGGACGGGUGAGUAACACGUGGGCAACCUGCCCUACAGAUGGGGAUAACUCCGGGAAACCGGGGCUAAUACCGAAUAAUCAGUUUGUCCGCAUGGACAAACUCUGAAAGACGGUUUCGGCUGUCACUGUAGGAUGGGCCCGCGGCGCAUUAGCUAGUUGGUGGGGUAAUGGCCUACCAAGGCAACGAUGCGUAGCCGACCUGAGAGGGUGAUCGGCCACACUGGGACUGAGACACGGCCCAGACUCCUACGGGAGGCAGCAGUAGGGAAUCUUCCACAAUGGACGAAAGUCUGAUGGAGCAACGCCGCGUGAGCGAAGAAGGUUUUCGGAUCGUAAAGCUCUGUUGUAAGGGAAGAACAAGUACGGGAGUAACUGUCCGUACCAUGACGGUACCUUAUUAGAAAGCCACGGCUAACUACGUGCCAGCAGCCGCGGUAAUACGUAGGUGGCAAGCGUUGUCCGGAAUUAUUGGGCGUAAAGCGCGCGCAGGCGGUCCUUUAAGUCUGAUGUGAAAGCCCACGGCUCAACCGUGGAGGGUCAUUGGAAACUGGAGGACUUGAGUACAGAAGAGAAAGCGGAAUUCCACGUGUAGCGGUGAAAUGCGUAGAGAUGUGGAGGAACACCAGUGGCAGGGGCUUUCUGGUCUGUAACUGACGCUGGCGAAAGCGUGGGGAGCAAACAGAUUAGAUACCC